rnacentral:rRNA from 2 species
UACGGAGGGUGCGAGCGUUAAUCGGAAUUACUGGGCGUAAAGGGUGCGUAGGUGGUUUGAUAAGUUAUCUGUAAAAGCCCUGGGCUCAACCUGGGAAGGCCAGAUAAAACUGUUGAACUAGAGUAUGGGAGAGGGUAGUGGAAUUUCCGGUGUAGCGGUGAAAUGCGUAGAGAUCGGAAGGAACACCAGUGGCGAAGGCGGCUACCUGGCCUGAUACUGACACUGAAGCACGAAAGCGUGGGGAGCAAACAGG